rnacentral:snRNA from 1 species
GUGCUCACUUCAGCAGCACAUAUACUAAAAUUGAAAUGAUCAGGAGAUUUGCAUGACCUCUGCACAAGGCUGGCAUGCAAACUGAGGAAGCAUUCCUUUUUUUU